AGUUGAAGAGCUGAUGUUCCUCUAAGGCUGAAGCUCUUAAACU
rnacentral:snoRNA from 8 species